rnacentral:rRNA from 1 species
AGAGUUUGAUCAUGGCUCAGGACGAACGCUGGCGGCGUGCUUAACACAUGCAAGUCGAACGAUGAACUCCAGCUUGCUGGGGGGAUUAGUGGCGAACGGGUGAGUAACACGUGAGUAACCUGCCCUGGACUCUGGGAUAACCCCGAGAAAUCGGAGCUAAUACCGGAUAGGACCUGGAACCGCAUGGUUUUGGGUGGAAAGUUUUUCGGUCUGGGAUGGACUCGCGGCCUAUCAGCUUGUUGGUGAGGUAAUGGCUCACCAAGGCGUCGACGGGUAGCCGGCCUGAGAGGGUGACCGGCCACACUGGGACUGAGACACGGCCCAGACUCCUACGGGAGGCAGCAGUGGGGAAUAUUGCACAAUGGGCGCAAGCCUGAUGCAGCAACGCCGCGUGCGGGAUGACGGCCUUCGGGUUGUAAACCGCUCUUAGUAAGGAAGAAGGGAAGCGCAAGCUUUUUGACGGUACUUGCAGAAAAAGGACCGGCUAACUACGUGCCAGCAGCCGCGGUAAUACGUAGGGUCCGAGCGUUGUCCGGAAUUACUGGGCGUAAAGGGCGCGUAGGUGGCCUGUUAAGUCGAACGUGAAAUCCCCGGGCUCAA